rnacentral:sRNA from 1 species
AGCUGGCCAAGAGUCCGCAGGAUGCAGUGGACGAAGGUGUUGGGGCUGGGGCUGGGGGCUGCUGCCCUCUUGGGGCUGGGGAUCAUCCUGGGCCACUUUGCCAUCCCCAAAAAAGCCAACUCACCGGCCCCCCAGGACCUGGACCUGGCGAUCCUGGAGACAGUCAUGGGGCAGCUGGAUGCCCACAGGAUCCGGGAGAACCUCAGGUGAGAGGUGGGGCCAUCUGCUCCUCUGUUUGCCAGAGGCCCCCUCCCUGAUGCUGGCCCUGCCCCUCCCUCUGUCCACCCCGCAGAGAACUCUCCAGGGAGCCACACCUGGCCUCCAGCCCUCGGGAUGAGGACCUGGUGCAGCUGCUGCUGCAGCGCUGGAAGGACCCAGGGUCAGGCCUGGACUCGGCCGAGGCCUCCACAUACGAGGUGCUGCUGUCCUUCCCUAGCCAGGAGCAGCCCAACGUCGUGGACGUCGGUGAGGUCCUGCCCAGCCUUGGGAAUGCCCAGAGGGGGAGCUGCUGGGCCCAGCCAUGACACUGCCACCCCCUCCAACAGUGGGCCCCACUGGGGACAUCAUCCACUCCUGCCACCGGACUGAGGAGAACGUGACCGGGGAGCAAGGGGGGCCAGAUGUGGUACAACCCUAUGCCGCCUAUGCUCCUUCUGGAACCCCACAGGGCCUCCUCGUCUAUGCCAACCAGGGUGCGGAAGAAGACUUUAAGGAGCUACAGACUCAGGGCAUCAAACUCGAAGGCACCAUUGCCCUGACUCGCUAUGGGGGUGUAGGGCGUGGGGCCAAGGCUGUGAACGCUGCCAAGCAUGGGGUAGCCGGGGUGCUGGUGUACACAGACCCUGCCGACAUCAACGAUGGGCUGAGCUCACCCAAUGAAACCUUUCCCAACUCCUGGUACCUGCCCCCCUCAGGAGUGGAGCGAGGCUCCUACUAUGAGUAUUUUGGGGACCCUCUGACUCCCUACCUUCCAGCCGUCCCCUCUUCCUUCCGCGUGGACCUUGCCAAUGUCUCUGGAUUUCCCCCAAUUCCUACACAGCCCAUUGGCUUCCAGGAUGCAAGAGACCUGCUCUGGGCCUCUUCCUCCUCCCCAGUAACCUCAACGGAACUUUGGCCCCAGCCACCUGGCAGGGAGCACUGGGCUGCCGCUACAGGUUGGGUCCCGGCUUCCGGCCUGACGGAGACUUCCCAGCAGACAGCCAGGUGAGUGUGAGCGUCUACAACCGGCUGGAGCUGAGGAACUCUUCCAACGUCCUGGGCAUCAUCCGCGGGGCUGUGGAGCCUGAUCGCUACGUGCUAUAUGGGAACCACCGAGACAGCUGGGUGCACGGGGCUGUGGACCCCAGCAGUGGCACCGCCGUCCUCCUGGAGCUCUCCCGUGUCCUGGGGACCCUGCUGAAGAAGGGCACCUGGCGUCCUCGCAGAUCAAUCGUGUUUGCGAGCUGGGGGGCUGAGGAGUUUGGGCUCAUUGGCUCCACGGAAUUCACAGAAGAGUUCUUCAACAAGCUGCAGGAGCGCACGGUGGCCUACAUCAACGUGGACAUCUCGGUGUUUGCCAACGCUACCCUUAGGGUGCAGGGGACGCCCCCUGUCCAGAGUGUCGUCUUCUCUGCAACCAAAGAGAUCCGCUCACCAGGCCCUGGCGACCUGAGCAUCUACGACAACUGGAUCCGGUACUUCAACCGCAGCAGCCCGGUGUACGGCCUCGUCCCCAGCUUGGGUUCUCUGGGUGCUGGCAGCGACUAUGCACCCUUCAUUCACUUCCUGGGCAUCUCCUCCAUGGACAUCGCCUAUACCUAUGACCGGAGCAAGACUUCAGCCAGGAUCUACCCCACCUACCACACAGCCUUUGACACCUUUGACUAUAUGGACAAGUUUUUGGACCCAGGCUUCAGCAGCCAUCAGGCUGUGGCCCGGACAGCGGGGAGUGUGAUUCUCCGGCUCAGUGACAGCUUCUUCCUGCCCCUCAAAGUCAGUGACUACAGUGAGACACUCCGCAGCUUCCUGCAGGCAGCCGAGCAAGACCUCGGGGCUCUGCUGGAGCAGCACAGCAUCAGCCUGGGUAUGCAUAGCCGUGACCCUGAGGCAUGGGGAGCCCUGCACCCCCAGGACUAAGCCACUGCUUGUUCCUCACAGGGCCUCUGGUGACUGCAGUGGAGAAGUUUGAGGCAGAAGCUUCAGCCUUGGGCCAACGCAUAUCAACACUGCAGAAGGGCAGCCCUGACCCCCUGCAGGUCCGGAUGCUCAAUGACCAGUUGAUGCUCUUGGAACGGACCUUUCUGAACCCUAGAGCCUUCCCAGAGGAACGCUACUACAGCCAUGUGCUCUGGGCACCUCGCACGGGCUCUGUAGCCACAUUCCCGGGCCUAUCCAAUGCCUGCUCCAGGGCCAGGGACACAGCUUCUGGAUCUGAAGCUUGGGCUGAGGUCCAGAGACAGCUCAGCAUUGUGGUGACAGCCCUGGAGGGUGCAGCAGCCACCCUGAGGCCUGUGGCUGACCUCUGACCCCAGCCCUCUUUCUUCAGCCCUCUCUUUACCCC